rnacentral:lncRNA from 1 species
CACGCACAUCUCAAUUAAUUCAUCAAGCUCCACAAGUCAACCUAGUUUUAAUCUGGAUCACUCUUCACAUAAAUCCCUCUCUUUUGUGCAUGUAUGAGAUUUCUAACUUAAAAAACUUAUAUAUUUUUUUGUAUAUAUCCCUCCCCUGCACUGGUUCUUGAAGAUGUCAAUAUUAUAUCAAUGAGUGCAGGGGAUAAAAAAAUUCCAUUCCACAAUUCUGUCUUCAGUUUAUUUGUAGCACAUUUCCCCAAUGGAGAAAUUGCUGUUAAAUUCAGUAUUACGUGAAUAGAACCUGGAUGAAAAUCAUGUGUUGAACAAAAGGUUUCUUUAAGCAAAAGCAUAUGUGACGCAAGUACUCACCAGAUCUUCAAUUGAUGUACACGUAACAGAAACCAAUAUCAACACCAAAGAGCAAUUGCUCAACCCACAAAUCAUACACUAAGGUUGCCCGAGUAUAUGAAUAACCCACAAAGAAUUUAUCUCACAAAGAGGAGAAGUUGGCUGCAAACUCACAAAGAGGAGAGAGAACUUGCGGCUAUAUAGUUCACGCAACGGAAGAAACAGCUGCUUUAUGUUUUCUCAAUUGUGCCACACGUUAAAAACCACAAAUGAAAAUUGGGGUGUUGAUUUCAUAUCUCAAUCCUCGGCCGGAGCCUAUGAAAUUAACCGUUAAACAUCAUCGCCUGUUGGAGGUUGUUUGGCAACAAAAUACCCAAUAGCGUAUAGUAUA